GCGCUUUUUUGUAGAAAGAACUGGAAAGUGUCAUCCUGCUUGAUCCGUCUCGGUUUGAAUAACGUGAGCCGAUUUAAGACGAGAUAAAUAAAGAUAAAGUAAAUAACGUCCUUUUUCAAUUUACAUUGCAGAUUGGAACGGGUUAUGCAAAAAUAAAUUUAUUCGUUAAAUAGUAGUUUUGAAUAAAACAAAUCUUAAAAUUCAAAAUUUUACAUUGCCAAACUAGCUAUGUAAAUUAUGUUCUUCUGAAUUUGAUUAACCCUUUUUCAUAACACACUAUCCAAAAAAUCGCAAUCGUAUAAUGAGUUUUAUACAUUAAAAAAGAAAAAAAAAAGAAAAUUCGAUUUUUUAUCAGAGAUACAUUCGCUAGUUAAUCUUUAAAAUGAAAAGAUCCCUAUUAAUGUUCGUUAUCGAGAAGAUUAAAAUAUUUUUCCUAUAGCUGUCAAUCCUAAAAUUCAGGAAAAAACGGGCAAAUAAUUAAAUCUGCCAUCGAGAAUAUUUAUUGACAUUUUGCGAUCAAUUUCAUUUUGUUAUCAAUAUUAUACGAAAAUGGAUUGAUGUCUGAAAAGCUACUUAAAGAUUAAUUCAAACUCGGUUUUAUAAUACGGAAUUGAAUCGUUUGUUCCGCGUAAAGAAUUGUUCGACGAGAACACACACAUGCGAUAAAAGGAUCAGGUACAAAUACGAUAGUUCGAUAAGGCAGAACAUCUUUCUAAAACGAAUAGCAGCCGGAUCGGAUCUCUUGGAACAGACCCCGACUGACCGCAAGAAUCGAUUUAUUCACGGGAUUGCUGAAGGAUAUAACGUCGAGGGAUUUGUCGGAAAAAUAUGCUCUCUUCGCAAAUGUUAUUGAAUCUAUUAUUAAUUUCGAACAUUAAUUUUAGCUGCAUUAUUUGUUUCGUAUAUUGUUCAGUAUAUUACAGAAAACAAAGAUGUAACGUUGCAAUAAACUAAUAAUAGCGAAAUAUUAAGAGGCACAUUCGUCUGCUUAUAACAUUCGUGAUAUAAUUCUACGUUUCGAUCAUAAACAUUGCAAAAAAUGAGGAGUUUGACAAAAAAUGGGAAGAGAACCCAGUUAUUUUCUAAUCUUCGAGUGUGAACAAUAUCAGAAGUUAUUCCGAGAUGCGCGAAACAUCGAACAAUAACUCGCCGCGAUUCUGCAACGAGGAUGUAUGGCUGUGUCUCGCGAUGGAAAUGACGGAAAUAUGGUAAACGCAACUCCGCGAGGCUAUGUAUUUUCACACAUUCCCCACAUUAUUCGCGUGAGCAUAGUUUCCGUCGAGUUCCACCGUGGACCGCGAAGAGAAUAGUAGGAAGCCCUACCGCGAAGCCGGCGACGGUUUACAAAAGACAGAUAACGCGAAAACGGAGACACCUUGAUAAAGAAGACAAUUCUUUGAAACAUAGUUCGAAGAUAUUUUUUUAUCUGAUAAUGUGACAAGGCAAAAGACCCAAUUAUGACUGUGACCAAGAUGCAACUGUUAGAUGUCUGAUGAUAUUUGAUUUUCUCUCUUGAUUUUUACCCGAUAAGGAAUAAAGGAGGUAAUUCGAAGAAAUUCCUUUGUCGAUAGACGGAUUACUGCGCAUCUGCGCUCGAAGACACACUGAAAGAUCAUCAUCAUAAUUGAUCGUAAUGUUUCACUCUUCAAUAUUAAAUAUAUAGAACAAUUAACAUUUUCUAUUUUGUAUAUAAAUCAAUUAAAUUAAAUUUUAUUUUUAGUUAAGAGAGGAGGGGAGACGUUUCACAUACAAUUUGCACGCAG